rnacentral:tRNA from 1 species
UGCCGGGUCGUCUAAUGGUAGGACUAUCGCCUCUGAAGCGAUAUAUCUUGGUUCGAGUCCAAGCCCGGCAG